GUUUUCCCACUACACAGGAAGGGGCUGGGGGAGAGAGAUAUUUUUGCAGUGUGGUCAUGUGAAAGGCAAAUUUCACGUGGAUUUUCAUGCAGACCUAUAAAUCAGUCCAUGUUCACUCUAAAAGUUCACGGUCCUUAGCAAACCUCUCAGUGAACUGGGGCUGAGCUUAGAGAUUGUAAAGAAACCUGAAACCAAGCAAGUUUCAACUAAUUUCAUAUUUUGCCGUGAACAUUUUGCUCAGGUCUAACUUGUUUGCUUAGGAGUUUAGGCAAGUACAACCGUGUCCUUUGGGAGAAAAAAAAUGCUCGGAGAAAUCAAAUACACCACACAAAAAGGUUACAUCUCCAGCUUUCUGUGUGUGAUAGCAAUAUACAAAUGCAAUUAAGGAUUUCCAAAGAGUAUACUGGCAGGGCUGCAUGCAAACUGGUCAUGAAGGUGACCAACUGACUUGAGGAAAG
ensembl:lncRNA